rnacentral:rRNA from 1 species
AACGAACGCUGGCGGCGCGUCUUAACCAUGCAAGUCGAGCGGCAGGCCGCAAUGCCGAGCGCGGCGGACUGGUGAGUAACACGUGGAUAACGUACCCCGAUGUCCGGGACAGCCUGUAGAAAUAGAGGGUAAUACCGGAUAGAUCACUGUUUACGUGAGGUAGACAGCGGGAAAGGAGCUUCGGCUCCGCGACGGGAUCGGUCUGCGGCCCAUCAGCUGGACGGCGGGGUAAAGGCCCGCCGUGGCGAGGACGGGUAUCCGGCCUGAGAGGGCGGACGGACACAUUGGGACUGAGAUACGGCCCAGACUCCUACGGGAGGCAGCAGGUAAGAAUAUUCCGCAAAGGGGGGAACCCUGACGGAGCGACGCCGCGUGAACGAAGAAGGCCGGAAGGUUGUAAAGUUCUUUUCUGUCCGAGGAAUAAGUUUCGGAGGAAAUGCCGGGACGGUGACGGUAGGGCAGGAAUAAGCACCGGCUAAUUACGUG